ACGUAGGUGGCAAGCGUUGUCCGGAUUUACUGGGCGUAAAGAGCGCGCAGGCGGUCGUUCAAGUCGAGUGUGAAAGCCCCGGGCUUAACUUGGGAAUUGCGCUCGAAACUACUUGGCUGGAGUGUGGCAGAGGAAGGUGGAAUUCCACGUGUAGCGGUGAAAUGCGUAGAGAUGUGGAGGAACACCAAUGGCGAAGGCAGCCUUCUGGGCCAACACUGACGCUCAUGCACGAAAGCGUGGGGAUCAAACAGGA
rnacentral:rRNA from 1 species